GUGACGCCCUCACCCUAGAGUCAGUUUCCCACGUCACAAUCGACCUUGGUGGAGUCGGACAAGGGGGGGAUCGCCAGAACUGUGAAGCUCCGAGUAGAGCCACUUAAGGAAUAAUGGAAGAGAAAAUGUGGGUGCCCUGAGCCAGGUGCUCCUUUGUGGUGACUCCAGCAGCAGGAGCAGCAGUAUAAUGGCUGCUGGAGAGUGAGGCACCGUCCAUCACCGUCCCCACCAUGAGAAUUCUCUAGUCAUCCUAGUCAAUCAGUCUACUGUGACGUCUCAUCACCAGUGACAUAAUUCUUUAUUGUGAUAUACUGUAUUAUGAAAUGUAGCCAGCCCCAUUGUGAGUCGAUCACCUGUGUCCGGGUGGACUAUUCCCCAUUAAAAAGAGAAAGAAAGAAAGAAACUUUGAAUGUUUAGGACACAAUAAGUAAGGUUCAUUAAACUUCAUUCCUCCACACACUUUAUAACCUGCAUUUUCACAUCCAAACUGAUGCUUUUCUUUGACUGGUUGGCCACAUUACUAACACUAUCACCUGCUUGCAGACCUUUCCCCAGACAUUAUGGGUCAAUUAGGGGUCACAAAAUUAUGCACAAAUAAGGAGAAAUAGAGUUACUUCACGAGUAUGACUCGUAUGUUGAUAACUGGCAGAAUGAGACAUUGAGUGAGACUUUUGAACUGCUUGACAAUUUCUUUUCUCUAGCAAAAACAACAAAAACAACAACUGAUAAUUAUAACAAAGGAGUGCUAAAAGCAGCAUUAAUCAAGGUUUUCCUGUAUAUAUUCUGUAUAUUAAAAAAAAAAGGUAAAAUACCCUUUUAUAUCUCAAUUAUUUGUUUACUUCGAAUUAGGAAACUUUCUUUGUUUUCAUAACUUCAAAAUGUGUUUGUUAGGUUAAUAAAGUUCUUCAGUAAAUAAUAAAAAAAAAUAUAUGCUCAAGUAGUUCUCUUGAGUUAAUCAUUCAUACACACCUCAGGGAUUAGAGGAAUAUAUUUAACAAGCUACUCUACUGUUAGUAUCAGACCUGGAAGCUGACCACAAGGAGAACCCAGAGUCCUGUAGCAGUCCUAAAUGAAUGUGAAAAAAUCAAGUUUUAUGAAUUAAUACAGGAUGAUGUUACCUUUAACAUGAAAAAUUUAUUAUCACAUUUUAACUUUAAAUUAUCACUGGUUACGUUGGAUAUAUUAGUCUGUAAACAACUGAGAGGUGAACUGUAAUGGUUUUAUAUUACUGUACUUGGAUGUGUUUGUAACAUGAUAACAUUAAGAAGUUUUUUCACCCUCUCAGUCUAUGGUUGUGAUCAGCCAUGAGCAGCUUCUGGUUGUCAAUAUUUUGUCAAAAUAUAGUUUUUUCAUAGGUUAAGGAAAAUAAAGUACAGUUUGUCAAAAUCUAUUUUCAUAAUCAAUUAUCACUGGGAGUCAAAGCUGUUCAGAAUCUGUGUUAAGUAUUUGGCAUCACUACUUUUAUUCUUUGGAUUUCCUGGAACUGGCCAGUAAGUUUUUGUAUAAUUUAUUGUGACCUGUUGUAAUGACUUUUGUAUUUAUUUAUUUAUAAAGAAGUAAAUACAGUAUUCAUGUUGUUGAGUGAUGUUAAUCAAUUAAUACGAUUUGUUACCAGGAUAACCGUUUGAUUUAAUAUUUUUCAUUUUUGUUGUUGCUGGAAUCAUAUCAUUGUAUAUAACCAUGUGAUGUCAGUUUCAUAUAUGUUGUGCUGUCAUUAUCAGUAUUUAUUUUGUAAUUUUAUUUGUAAGUAGCCAGCAGACCCAUUCUUUGAAUAAAAAUCUCAAAUUUUA
rnacentral:lncRNA from 1 species